UUUCUUUAUUUUAUUUUUCUCCUCUUCUGUCGUCGUGCCCCAAACCUCCCCGGCGUGCCAUUCCUCUUCUCCUCCGCCGAACUCAUCCCGUGCCCUAACCUCCUAGCGCCGGCAGUUUCCUUCUCCUCUAUCCUUGCCCAAGCGCCGGCGAGCACGAGCCACCGCCGGCCGAGCCGUUCCUCAUCCCUAGCGUCGCUGCCUCCCUCUCCCCUCCAACGACGUCGACUUGAUCGGUCGGCACCACCCGAUUUCCGGCGGCCAUCUUCCUCUUGUGCCCCAGCCGCCAGCCACCGAAUUCCCCGAGCCACUGCCGGCCGAGCUCGUCCCCCUGCCUAGCACCGGUGCCCUAGCCGUCUUCACAGCCGCUCUUCUCUCUGCCCGAGCCGAGAUUACAGUGACAAGAUGAGGCUGAGCGCCGCUGUCUGUGAGCCCUAGCCGGCCGACCGUGACUCCCUCCUUUUCCUCCUUCCUCCUCGUGCCUCUGAAUUGGAGCGAUGGUGAUGUUCCUCUCUGCACUAGUGCCGGUAGUCGUUCUCUUCGCUUCUGGCAAGUGCCACCGACCUCUCUUGUGACCUAGGCUCCAUCUCCUUUUCAGAGUAAUGGGGUUUAAGUAAGGUAACGGCAAGGGUUGUGUGAUGUGGAUCAACUAGCAAGGUUGGGAAGAAGGAAGUUGGAUGUUUGUUUGGGGUUUUGAUUUGAGACAAGAGCUCUGAUUAGAGGACAUACAACACGAUCUACAUUGGAGG